rnacentral:rRNA from 1 species
CCAGCAGCUGCGGUAAUUCCAGCUCCAAGAGUGUAUAUUAAAGUUGUUGCGGUUAAAAAGCUCGUAGUUGGACUUGUGACUGAUGCAUUAUGGUUCCCGGGGGCGUUUACGCUUCUGGGGUCAAAACUGUUUGUGUCUUUCUUUCAUGGGGCGUUAAGGGCGGUGUUGGUCUUCGGGCCGGUGCCGUCCGUCACAGUGGGUUUACUUUGAAAAAAUUAGGGUGUUCAAAGCAGACGAAAUCGUCUUGAAUACAUUAGCAUGGGAUAAUACAAUAUGACCAUUGGUCAAACUUUAUUGGUUUCUGGGGCCAAGGUAAUGAUUAACAGGGACAGUUGGGGUCGCUUGUAUCC